AUGACGGUGAAAGUUUUUGUGCUGGUGCAGCAAUCUGCAGUGAUAAUCAUGGAGCAAUUCAACCUAUUUUUUCAGUAGGUGUAAUAAUUAACAGCUGUCAUUCAGGCAGCGAUACAGCCUCCACUGGCACCACAGCCGGCAAAUUAAACUCAGUGACUGGCAGCGAAUCAUACUCAAGAGCCAAGGAGAUGAUGGUCUUCGAGUCCUUGAGGCAUGAUUCAACCCCCG
rnacentral:lncRNA from 1 species